CCUACGGGUGGCUGCAGUGAGGAAUAUUGGUCAAUGGGCGAGAGCCUGAACCAGCCAAGUCGCGUGAAGGAUGAAGGAUCUAUGGGUUGUAAACUUCUGGUAUAAGGGAAUAAAGUGAGGAACGUGUGCCUUUUUGUAUGUACCAUAUGAAUAAGGAUCGGCUAACUCCGUGCCAGCAGCCGCGGUAAUACGGAGGAAGCGAGAGUUAUCCGGAUUUAUUGGGUUUAAAGGGGGCGUAGGGGGUUACUUAAGUCAGCGGUGAAAGUUUGAGGCUCAACCGUAAAAUUGCCGUUGAUACUGGUUGCCUUGAGUAUAUUUGAGGUAGGCGGAAUGCGUGGUGUAGC
rnacentral:rRNA from 1 species